CUUGUAGGCGGUUUGUCGCGUCUGCCGUGAAAACUCAGGGCUUAACUCUGGGCGUGCGGUGGGUACGGGCAGGCUAGAGUGUGGUAGGGGAGACUGGAAUUCCUGGUGUAGCGGUGAAAUGCGCAGAUAUCAGGAGGAACACCGAUGGCGAAGGCAGGUCUCUGGGCCAUAACUGACGCUGAGAAGCGAAAGCAUGGGGAGCGAACA
rnacentral:rRNA from 1 species